GUUUACUCGAAGGAGUGGAUAAGUGAAAGAAAGGAUUCCACUGUAGAAAAAUAUCCCUAGGGGUAGGGAAGGGGAAAGGACGAGAAAGAAAGGGAAGAGAAAAAAAUCUCUACGGACAGAAGAGAAGACAGAGGGAGACGGCAGAGGGGGAGAAGACUGUUCACCUCCGAUAAAAUCUUCACACCGUUUCCACCUCCGCCUGCUGUCAACUUCCACGAGGAACAGAGCAAACUAUCUGCCAUUGUCUCCAUUGGAUUUUGCCUCUCGUCUGACUCUAUUUCUUCUAUAUUCUCUGAAGAGCUUGCCAACAAAAUGAGAGAUGGAUGAAAUCGAGUAGAUUAAUCUACGAUUAGAGCAAGCAGCUACGGCGGAUGUUGGUUCAGAAAUAGCUACGACGAAUGUUGUGCAAAGCUGGUGGAGCCGUCAGAGUCGUCGGAGGCUCGCGUGGUUGACGAAGGAAAGGCGUUCCAGCUUGUGGGCGAGCCCCCAGCAACCCUUCGGCUCACGAGCGAGCCCCUCGUCGCCCGUUUGCAAGCAAAAGAGCCCCUCACCGCCUGUCAGCUCACACACACAAGAUCAGGGCUUGAAGUGAGUAGGGAACUUGCGGGGGAGGAGGGAGUAGAGAGCGAGAUCGAUGAGGGGAUAUGAAGCCACUUUGAGCUUUGGGAGGCAGAACCAGAUUUGAAGUGUUUGAGAGACUUCCAUUGGAGUUGCUUUAUCGGUUGUUGCUUCUCCGUUAUGAAGUAGAUCUUGCCGGGGAAGGUGGCGGGCCUGGCGGCGGACAUGGAAGAGUAGUGCAAUACUAGGAUGGUAGUCUGUUGGCAUAUAGAGGCAGCGCACAAAGUUGAGGCAGAGUUGCAACGAAAGGCGGAUGGUUACUUUCCGUCCGAUUUUGAGAGGAUGAAAAACUGCCUUAAAAUGGAUCCAUUGAUUGUUUCGUCAACCAUCCAUCCAUUUUUUUAGAAGAUGUAAACAAGAGAAAGGAUGAAUAAUCCAUCCUCUUUGUGUAGUAAACAGUGAAAAAUUUUGCAUGCAGAAAACUUUCCUUUCUUUCA